CGCCGCGCCGUACAGUCGUGCGCUCCGCCCGCCCAAGUGUUCCAAGGAAACAAUCAAAAACAAUUAUCUCUACUAUAAAAAACCCGAAGUAACUCACCACGUAUUAUGGAUAAGCUGUGGGCAGAUCGGAGUCAUCGCGGUGGGGCACCUAGGGACGGUCGCGACUACGAUAAUAUGGAGGGGUAUUGGAAUAAUUGGAAUAUGGAGACUGCGAC
rnacentral:misc_RNA from 1 species